rnacentral:rRNA from 1 species
UACGUAGGGUGCAAGCGUUAAUCGGAAUUACUGGGCGUAAAGCGUGCGCAGGCGGUGAUGUAAGACAGAUGUGAAAUCCCCGGGCUCAACCUGGGAACUGCAUUUGUGACUGCAAGGCUGGAGUACGGCAGAGGGGGAUGGAAUUCCGCGUGUAGCAGUGAAAUGCGUAGAUAUGCGGAGGAACACCGAUGGCGAAGGCAAUCCCCUGGGCCUGUACUGACGCUCAUGCACGAAAGCGUGGGGAGCAAACAGG